AUUGAACGCUGGCGGCGGGCUUAACACAUGCAAGUCGAGCGAGCGGCGGACGGGUGAGUAAUGUCUGGGCAACUUCCUGAUGGACGGGGAUAACUACUUUAACCCGUAGCUACUUCCCCCUUCCAUCCGCUGUUCCCCUAUUGGAUGAGCUAGGAGGUGGGGUAAUGGCUGACCUAGGCGACGAUCCCUAGCUGGUCUGAGAGGAUGACAGGCCACACUGGAACGGAGACACGGUCCAGACUCCUACGGGAGGCAGCAGUGGGGAAGAGUGCGCAAGGGGCGAAAGCCUGAUGCAGCCAUGCCGCGUGUGUGAAGAAGGCCUUCGGGUUGUAAAGCACUUUCAGCGAGGAGGCGGGACUCGCAGAAGAAGCACCGGCUAACUCCGUGCCAGCAGCCGCGGUAAUUC
rnacentral:rRNA from 1 species